GGAGACGUACCGAAGCGGCCGUAACGGGGUGCUCUCGAAAAGCAUUUGCCGGGCAACCGGCACGUGGGUUCGAAUCCCACCGUCUCCGCCA
rnacentral:tRNA from 1 species